UCAUAGUUCCAGCAAAACAGUUUGGUGUCUGACGUCGCUUUUCCAUCAUUCUUUCUCGUUUCUGAUCCACUUUCCCGAUAACCUAACGGUCAUUAUCAUUCACAGCUUUCACCAUACGAAACUAAUUCAUAGGUCCCUGGCGACGCUUAAUCAGACAUUCUUUAAACUCACAGUUCCAGAAACUGCCAUUUAUAGCCCCAUUUUCCGAAGAACCAAACAAAUAUAGGGGGAAAAAAAAAGUUAGAACCAGUGAACACUUCAAUUUUACGGCGACUCCAAUGUCCUGAAACCCAAAACCCUAAGUUUUUUCCUUGCAGAUGGACAAGGAAACGGAAAUUCUCUCUCGCCUAGCCGCGAAUCACCUGUAUUUGGCCCAAUUCGAGCCUCUCCGAGCGAUAAUCCUCGCUCUCCGAACCCGAAACCCCGACGUCGCUCUCGCCGUACUUCAAACCAUUGUUGCUCAAUCAGGUCGGUUCGAGAACAUUCUAUGGUCGCCCUCUUGCCCUUCCCCAUCGGCCUUAACGUACUUGUCAACUCUCGAACUCUUACAAUUCGAUAACGCCUCGUCUUCAUGGAGCUUCGAUCCCGAAACGCUGCGAUUGCGCGCGGAGUUCUUGCUACUAGUGCAGAGCUUGAUCGACCGGGCAUCGGAAAGUCUACGAAAGAAUUUUGAUUUGGAGAGCAUAGAGAAAGAAAGAGAAAGAGAUGCUUUGGGUGAAAGCGAGAGUGUUGAAGAGCGAGCAGAGUUGCUGGAUAAGAGCGAGGAUAGAAGUGAGGAUUUGAGGGAUGCAAAUGGUGAAUUGGGAAGCUGUGUAGGGGUUUUGGAUGGAAUAUUAGAGUUGGGAGUGAAGAGGCUGAAACCAGAUGCAGUAGUAGUAGGUGAUACUGACAACGACGAUGGAACUGAAAGACGACCGGCUUCUUCUUCCGACGUCGUUUUGAUCGAGGAAACCAAAUUGAUGUGCUUGAAGAGGGUGAUUUGGGAGCACGCAGACGUUUUUGAUGCCUUGUGUUUGAAUAUAGAGAGGCAAGUGAAGGGGUGGGAGGGUUAUGAUUCUUCAGGUUUAGCGUUAACAGUUCAGAGGGAUGAGAAUGUGAGAGUGGAUUCUUCCGAGGAGGAGGAUGUUAAAGCUCUUGGCCUGAUACAGAGGAUUGUUCAAAUUGCUCAUUUAGAUGCAAUGAAGGACUCUGUGAAAGAGGGCAAUGUGGAUGGAGCCAUUUCCCACAUUCGUUUUCUUCAUCUUGAUCAUGGAGUGGAGGAGUCUGAGUAUCGCUUAGUGUUACAUGAUCUCCUCAAGAUGGUUUCUCUCGGAAGGGAGGGAUAUGGAGAUUCUUGGAGUGCCAUGCGAGAAAAGUUGCUGUUGAUAUAUGUUGCAUCUCUUUCAUCAAAUUGCAGACAUCUUAUUCAAAUUAUACAGGUUCUUCAAGAUGAGUUGCUCUUGCAAGAGAUAGAGUUGUAUAGAUGUCAUGAUAACAACCAGAUUCCACCCCCUCUCCAUCGUUUUCAAAGUUAUGUUGUAGACUUGAAACCUGAUAUAGAUUUAUGCGAUAAAAAGUCUUUUGAUGCUGCAGUCGGUUUUUGCAUGGGAGACAUGUAUCAUUAUGCUCGUGUUUCUGGAUUACAUAUUUUUGAAUGUGUCAUGGAUACUGCCCUGUCUGCUGUGAAGAGGGAGCAGUUUGAAGAAGCGAGCAAUGUUCUUUCAUUGUUUCCCCGCCUUCAGCCCCUGGUAGCUGCCAUGGGUUGGGAUUUAUUGUCUGGGAAGACAACAGCACGAAGGAAAUUAUUGCAACUUCUAUGGACAAGUAAGUCACAAGUAUUUCGGCUGGAAGAAUCUUCUCUUUAUAGUAAUCAAUCAAAUGAGAUAUCAUCUGUGGAACACCUUUGCGAUACUUUGUGUUAUCAGCUUGAUCUUGCCUCUUUUGUUGCCUGUGUCAACUCUGGUCGAUCAUGGAAUUCAAAAUUCUCGUUAAUGUUAUCUGGGAAAGGGCAAAUAGCUUUUGGAAGUGAAGAUGCUCAAUCAGACUCUUUUGUCGAAAAUUUUGUGUUAGAAAGACUUUCAUUUCAAAGUCCUCUUAGGGUAUUGUUUGAUGUUGUUCCAGGCAUAAAAUUUCAGGAUGCUAUCAAAUUGAUCAGCAUGCAGCCAUGUUCUUCUACUGCAGCAUCCUGGAAGAGAUUGCAGGACAUUGAACUUAUGCACAUGCGUUAUUCUCUGGAAUCAGCAAUUCUUGCACUCGGAGCAAUGGAAAGGAGUACGGCACAUGAAAUAGAAAGUCAUCAUCAACUGGCCUUUCAUUAUUUGAAGGACUUGCAGAGCCACUUGGAGGCUGUCAAUAACAUUCCACGGAAGAUAAUGAUGGUGAAUGUUAUAAUUUCACUUUUACAUAUGGAUGAUUUCUCUCGUUAUUUGGGGCAAAAUGCUUCACCAGGGAGCUCCUCGGAAUCAUCCCAUACAUGUGCUUGGGAACAUACUGAUCUCUCUACAGAUGCAGGGGGAAAUAAAUUGGUCAUGUCUUUCACAGGGUUGCUACUUGAGAUAUUGCGUCAUACUCUUCCUUCAUCUGUUACUGAACUAGAGAAUGCUUCCAAUGAUGGCUUAUCUGUGGGUGGAAGACAGGCAUUAGAGUGGAGAGUAUCCACUGCUAAUCGGUUCAUUGAAGAGUGGGAAUGGCGACUGUCCAUUUUGCAGCGUCUUCUUCCAUUGUCUGAACGCCAAUGGAGAUGGAAGGAGGCGUUGACGAUAUUACGUGCAGCCCCAUCUAAGCUCCUUAAUCUUUGUAUGCAAAGAGCAAAGUAUGACAUUGGAGAAGAGGCAGUUCAUCGCUUUUCAUUAUCUGCAGAAGAUAAAGCUACCCUGGAAUUAGCUGAGUGGGUAGAUAGUGCUGUCAGAAGAGCAUCUGUAGAAGAUGUGGUGUCUCGGGCUGCUGAUGGGACUUCUAUAGUACAGGAUCUAGAUUUUUCCUCUUUACGCUCCCAGUUAGAUCCUUUAGCUGCUAUUCUUCUUUGUAUUGAUAUUGCUGCUACUUCUGCACGGUCUGCAAAGAUGUCCCAGCAACUUCUGGAUCAGGCUCAACUUAUGUUAUCUGAGAUUUAUCCAGGUGCUUCCCCAAAAAUGGGCUCUAAUUACUGGGAUCAGAUCCUUGAUGUAGGAGUUAUUUCUGUUUCAAAAAGAGUCCUUAAGCGUCUGAAUGAGUUCCUGGAUCAGGAUAACCCUUCAGCACUUCAGGCAAUCCUGUCUGGGGAACUUAUUAUCAGUUCACCAAAGGAAUCCCAUCGACAUGGACAGAGAGAACGUGCUCUUGCUAUGCUACAUCAGAUGAUUGAAGAUGCUCACAAGGGAAAACGACAGUUUCUAAGUGGUAAGCUCCAUAAUCUUGCAAGAGCUGUGGCUGAUGAAGAAACAGAACCAAAUAUUCUUAAAGGGGAAGGCACAUCUGCUGAACAAAAGGUCCUUCCUGAUUUUGACAAAGAUGGUGUUCUUGGAAUUGGGCUGAGAGCUGUCAAACAGAGGUCUUCAAGUCCAACUGCUGGAGAAACAAGUGUGCAGCCUAUUGGUUAUGAUAUGAAGGAAACUGGGAAGAGAUUAUUUGGCCCAAUAAGUACCAAGCCUACAACCUAUCUUUCACAGUUCAUUCUCCAUAUUGCUGCAAUUGGAGACAUAGUUGAUGGAACUGAUACAACUCACGAUUUUAACUUCUUCUCUCUUGUGUAUGAGUGGCCUAAGGAUCUUCUAACUCGUCUUGUGUUUGACCGAGGCAGCACUGGUGCUGCUAGCAAGGUGGCUGAGAUUAUGUCUGCUGAUUUUGUCCAUGAAGUGAUUUCAGCUUGUGUACCUUCAGUCUAUCCUCCACGAUCUGGUCAUGGAUGGGCAUGCAUUCCUGUCAUUCCUACCUCCACUAGGAAUAGUGCAGAAAAUUUAGUAUCCCCAUCUUUUAAAGAAGCCAAGUCGAAUUCUUACAGCCGUUCCUCAGUAAUGCCUGGAAUCCCUCUGUACCCUCUACAAUUGGAUAUAGUAAAACAUUUGGUGAAAAUGUCUCCAGUAAGGGCUGUCUUAGCAUGUGUUUUUGGGAGUAGCAUUUUAUCUAGUGGUAGCGACUCUUCACUGUCGACCUCGUUGAAUAGUGGAUUGGUGCAGGCACCUGAUGAUGAUCGAUUGUUUUAUGAGUUUGCUCUUGAUCAAUCAGAGAGGUUUCCAACUUUAAACCGAUGGAUACAAAUGCAAACUAACCUUCAUCGAGUGUCAGAGUUUGCGAUAACUACUAAGCAAACUUCUGAUAGUGGCGAUGUUAAAGCUGAAGCAAGAACUGCUAUUAAGAGACUUCUCGAGCAUGAUAGUGAUACGGAGUCUGAAGUUGAUGACAUUGUUGGUAGCGGUAAUAUUUCAGGAGCAUUACCAGAGCUCAACAGCCAAGGAGGUGCAGCUUAUGGAACAUGGCGUGAUUCUUCAAAAUCUGAACUUGAUAAUUCAGUUUUCCUUUCUUUUGAUUGGGAGAAUGAAGAACCCUGUGAAAAGGCAGUAGAGCGAUUGAUUGAUGAAGGAAAACUAAUGGAUGCUCUUGCACUUUCUGAUCGCUUUCUACGUAAUGGAGCCUCAGAUCAGUUACUGCAGCUGCUCAUUGAGCGUGGGGAAGAGAACCAAUUGAUCUCUGUUCAAACUCAAACUUAUGGAGGCCAUACCAUCUGGAGUAGUAGUUGGCAGUACUGCCUACGUUUGAAGGAUAAACAGCUGGCUGCUAGACUUGCUCUCAAGUAUAUGCACCGAUGGGAGCUUGAUGCUGCCUUGGAUGUUCUUACCAUGUGCAGCUGCCACCUGCCUCAGACUGAUCCAUUAAGGAAUGAGGUUAUGCACAUGAGACAAGCUCUACAGAGGUACAGCCACAUACUAAGUGCAGAUGAUCGUUAUGGCAGCUGGCAAGAGGUUGAAGCAGAGUGUAAGGAAGAUCCUGAGGGUUUGGCUCUUAGAUUAGCUGGAAAGGGAGCAGUUUCAGCUGCUCUAGAGGUGGCUGAAAGUGCAGGAUUAUCAAUAGAUUUGCGGAGGGAAUUGCAGGGCCGUCAACUUGUGAAACUUCUUACUGCAGAUCCCCUCAAUGGUGGAGGACCAGCAGAAGCUUCACGGUUUCUUUCUUCACUACGUGACUCAGAUGAUGCCUUGCCAGUUGCCAUGGGUGCGAUGCAGCUGUUACCUAAUUUACGAUCAAAGCAACUUCUUGUUCACUUCUUCUUGAAGCGGAGAGAAGGGAAUCUUUCAGAUGCGGAGGUUUCCCGACUUAACUCGUGGGCAUUAGGUCUUCGUGUUCUGGCUGCCUUGGCAUUGCCUUGGCAGCAAAGAUGCUCUUCCUUACAUGAACACCCGCAUUUGAUAUUAGAGGUUUUGCUGAUGAGGAAACAACUGCAAUCUGCUGCCAUGAUUCUUAAAGAAUUUCCUUUGUUGAGAGACAAUAAUGUAAUUAUAGCAUAUGCUGCUAAAGCUAUCACUGUUAGUAUUAGCUCUCCUCCAAGAGAGCAUCGGGUAUCCGUUUCAGGAUCGAGACCAAAGCAGAAAAUGAGAGGUGGACCUGUUAGGUCUUCUUUUACUAGCAGCCUAAGUAACUUGCAAAAAGAGGCUCGUAGAGCAUUCUCUUGGGCUCCGCGAAAUACUGGAGACAAGACGGCCCCAAAAGAUGCCUACCGGAAAAGAAAGAGUUCUGGAUUGACACCAUCUGAUAGAGUUGCUUGGGAGGCAAUGGCUGGGAUUCAAGAGGAUCAUGUUUCAACUUAUUCUGUUGAUGGACAGGAACGUCUUCCUUCUAUUUCGAUUGCUGAAGAAUGGAUGCUAACAGGGGAUCCAGCUAAGGAUGACACUGUCCGCAUAUCUCACCGAUAUGAAAGUGCCCCUGACAUUACUCUCUUUAAGGCCCUGCUUGCUUUAUGUUCUGAGGACUCGGUAUCUGCCAAGAAUGCUAUGGAUUUGUGUGUUAAUCAAAUGAAGAAUGUUUUGAGCUCCCAACAGUUGCCCGAGAAAGCAUCAAUGGAAACAAUUGGUCGAGCAUAUCAUGCCACUGAGACAUUUGUGCUGGGACUGUUUUAUGCUAAAUCCUUGCUGAGAAAGGUUGUUGAAGGAAAUGAUUUCUCAAGUAAUUCUGAAAGAGGUAGGGAUGCUGAUGAUGCAUCCUCAGAUGCUGGUAGUUCUAGCGUGGGAAGUCAGUCAACAGCUGAGCUAUCAGAAGCUCUGUCACAGGCAGACAUUUGGUUAGGACGUGCUGAGCUUCUCCAAAGCCUUCUAGGAUCAGGAAUUGCUGCUUCUCUAGAUGAUAUUGCUGAUAAAGAGUCAUCUGCCCGUCUUCGUGACAGGCUGAUUGUGGAUGAACGGUAUAGCAUGGCUGUUUAUACUUGCAAAAAGUGCAAGAUUGAUGUUUUCCCUGUGUGGAAUGCAUGGGGACAUGCUUUAAUUCGGAUGGAACACUAUGCACAAGCUCGUGUGAAAUUCAAGCAAGCUCUUCAGUUGUAUAAGGGUGAUCCUGCACCUGUCAUUCUAGAGAUAAUAAAUACAAUUGAAGGAGGUCCGCCUGUUGAUGUUUCAGCUGUUCGUUCUAUGUAUGAACAUUUGGCUAAAAGCGCCCCAACGAUCUUGGAUGAUUCUCUUUCAGCUGAUUCAUAUCUCAACGUGCUGUACAUGCCAUCUACAUUUCCACGUUCGGAGAGAUCUAGGCGGUCUCUAGAAUCUUCAAAUAAUAAUUCUGCAUAUAGUUCAGAGUUUGAAGAUGGACCUCGCAGCAACCUGGAUAGUAUUCGAUAUGUUGAGUGCAUUAACUAUUUGCAAGAAUAUGCACGCCAGCAUUUGCUCAGUUUCAUGUUCAAGCAUGGUCACUACAAUGAAGCUUGCAUGUUGUUCUUUCCUCCAAAUGCUGCUCCCCCACCUCCUCAACCAUCAAUGGUGGGAGUGGCAACCUCAUCUUCUUCCCCUCAAAGACCGGAUCCUUCGGCAACUGAUUAUGGGACUAUUGAUGAUUUGUGUGAACUAUGUGUUGGUUAUGGAGCAAUGUCAUUUUUGGAGGAAGUGGUAUCAACAAGAAUGUCAUCUGCAAAUCCACAAGAUGUAGCGGUGAACCAAUAUACAGCUGCAGCUCUUUCCCGUAUUUGCAUCUAUUGUGAAACGCAUAAGCAUUUCAAUUAUUUGUACGAGUUUCAGGUUAUUAAAAAGGACCAUGUUGCUGCUGGACUUUGUUGCAUUCAACUGUUUAUGAAUUCUGCUUUGCAAGAGGAAGCUAUCAAACACUUGGAACAUGCCAAGAUGCAUUUUGAUGAAGGGUUGUCAGCACGUCACAAAGGUGGUGACUCUACUAAGCUUGUCACUAAGGGUGUUAGAGGAAAAAGUGCCUCUGAGAAGCUCACUGAAGAAGGACUCGUCAAGUUUUCUGCUCGGGUGUCAAUCCAGGUGGAAGUUGUUAAAUGCUUUAAUGAUUCAGAUGGGCCACAGUGGAAACACUCUCUUUUUGGAAAUCCAAAUGAUCCAGAAACAUUCAGGAGGAGGUGUAAAAUUGCCGAGACUCUUGUGGAAAGGAAUUUUGACUUGGCUUUCCAAGUGAUUUAUCAAUUUAACCUUCCAGCUGUGGACAUCUAUGCUGGUGUAGCUGCAUCACUUGCUGAGAGAAAAAAGGGCAGCCAAUUGACGGAGUUCUUUAGAAACAUAAAAGGAACAAUUGAUGAUGAUGAUUGGGAUCAGGUCUUGGGAGCUGCAAUAAAUGUAUAUGCUAACAAACAUAAAGAACGCCCUGAUCGUCUAAUAGACAUGUUGACCAGCAGCCACAGGAAAGUUUUAGCAUGUGUAGUCUGUGGUCGUCUAAAAAGUGCAUUCCAAAUUGCUUCUCGCAGUGGAAGCGUAGCUGAUGUUCAAUAUGUGGCUCAUCAGGCAUUACAUGCAAAUGCACUCCCUGUGCUUGAUAUGUGUAAACAAUGGCUGGCUCAGUACAUGUAAUUUUUUCCUUUGGUGAAACUGAAGCUCUGCUGCAAGCUCAUCUUAACCAAUUUAAACGUAUCCUUGGUCCUUUUCAUCGUAGAGGAGCAGUGGUAUGGAAUAGUUCAAUUGGCAAUGAUGAUUGGUGUUAAAACUUAGAUCCUUCGAAGGUUUGGCAAUAAAAUUCUCUUCCCCAGUUUAUGGUGGUUGGAUGCUUUGACGGUGAUCAAGGAGAUUACCUCAGCUUAAGAGCCUGUGGAGGCUGGAACUCUCAGAUUCGCCAUUCGUCAUUCUUAGUAUCUGAUCUUGACUUACUCGUUUCAGCUGGAAGUUUUUGUGGAAUUCAAGGUCUUCAUAUGCCCUUGCAUCAGCUUCAGCAAGGAAAUCUUUAUUAUCUGCUUGUACCUUUUCUUUUGAUGGUGGUAACACUUCCUUUUGAAUAUGUCAAAUGUGGCUCUUAUGGAUAAAUUUGGAGGUGGUUUUUCUUUGUAAUCCGCGUUUCUAGCGGUUUCUUUUGGGCUUAACGCAUUGCUUUUUCACCAAAAAGAAUCAAAACAUUGUGGUGCAUGCUAAAGCAUGUGAUAUGCAAAACUAGUUUGGAUGUAUAUAUAUAUAUAUAUAUAUAUA